AUGGGACAAACGCGGGGUGGAGGGGGUCACAGCAAACCGGGAGGGCUCGACACGGGACUGCAAAGCCCCCCCCAGCCCUCACGCAGCCCCGGGGGGAGGCGAGGCGGCUGGUACCCAACUUGGAGGCGUCGCCGCACCGAGGAUUUCCCGGGGAUCCGAGGGAAACACCGCCCCGGCGGCCCCGCACCGGCCCUCCGACACCCAAUUCCCCCCUGCCCGGCGUGCCCGAAGCCCCCCCAGCCCCGAAGGCAGGCCGAGGAGACCCGGGGCUGCCCGUGGGGGGGGCUCCAGCAGGGCCGGGGGUUUCCCCCCGCACCCGGCGGUUCUCCCGGCACCGCUCCCGGAGGCGGGGAGGGGGGGGGGAGCCGCAAAGCGGUGGCCCCGCGGCGAGCCCCGGGAGCCCCCCCAGUAGCCGGGGCCCCCCCGGCGAGAGCCCGGCCCCCCUUUUCCGUCGCCCACCCGCCGCGGCAUCUCCCUACCCAGGCCGUCCGCGCCAUUUUAGAGACACGCACACACUCUCGCACACCCUCGCACACCCGCUCGCACACACGCACGGGAGCGAGGUUUCCGCUGCCGCUGCCAGAGACAACAGGCAGCAGCCGAGCCCCGGCUGCGAAGGAGGAGCAGCGGCGGCAGCGGGGGCGCCCGGGCGGCCCCGGCUCUUCCCCCCCCCCCCUUCUCCUUCUCCUCCUCCUCUGCUCGCACACGCCGGGCACAAAAUGCUCACUCGAGGUAAUUGCAGCCCGCAGCCGCGGCCAGGGGAAGGGAGGGCGCUGCCCUGCGCGCCCCCACCCCAUUAACCCGCCGCGCACUCGGCAGCCCCGGGGAGCCCUCAUUGUUGCCUUUCUGCCGGGGUGGCUUUUGCUUUUCAGGAGGGCGAGAGGAAGAAAAGAGAGGGGAAGGGAAGAGAAAAGGAAAAAGAAAAAAAAAAAAAGAGAGAGAAAAAGAAAAAUACCACCAAGCCAGCCCCUUCCCCCGCCCGUCCCCCAUUGUUCGGCCGCGGGAGGCUGGGCGAGCGCAGCGCGACCGGCUCGCCAUUCACCAAGCCCCCCCUUUCCCCCUGCCAUCUCCGCAAACUUCGGGGGCUGGGGGGGUCUGGAGGAGGCUCCCUGUGGAGCUUACCUGUGCUGUUCCUUUGCUGCACGGUGAGGUAGGCUUUCCAAGCCUUACAGAAACUUGCUGGGCCAAGUCCUUUACCACCUCCAAGAAACCCUGAAACCAACAUUGAGAACCCAGGUGACAGCGCU
rnacentral:lncRNA from 1 species